GACGGAUGAGGCCAGCGUUAUCCGGAAUUAUUGGGCGUAAAGGGUACGCAGGCGGCUGGUCAAGUCUGGGGUUAAAGGCCACAGCUCAACUGUGGGAAGGCCCUGGAAACUGACCGGCUAGAGUGAGGUAGGGGUUGCGGGAAUUCCCGGUGUAGCGGUGAAAUGCGCAGAGAUCGGGAAGAACACCUGAGGCGGAAGCGCGCAACUGGGCCUCAACUGACGCUGAGGUACGAAAGCUAGGGGAGCGAAUGGG
rnacentral:rRNA from 1 species